ACCAACUACAAAGCUUAGAUUAAAAUCCUAACUUGAGUAUCUUUAAUAAAUGGUAUGUGUCUAUAACCACAGAUGGAAUCUCCUGAUCUUUGAUGACCAUUUUUUAAAAUACAAACUAGAGUUUCUGAUUAAUUUAUGAUUUCAAAUUCUUGCUGAGUUUAGUUGUUUCCUUCUGUAUUUUGGUUAUUUCAACACUUAUGCUAACAUAAUUUAGUUAUGAUACAGUUUAAACUUUGCAAUAAAUUUCUUUCUUAAAAGUCAAAUGUAAGUGUUUGAAAGAAUUGUUUAUGUUGUGUUGGAAAAGAUGAAAAAAACUUUUUUUUGGAAUUACCGGCCUAGGAAUAGUUUACUCCUAUUCCGCUGAAGAAUAAAUGUGCUGCAAUUAUGCUGAUCCAUUACAAUAUCACAACUUUUUUUAUGGGAUUUUCCUAUUAUUAACAUCAUUAGUUAACUGAAGCAGUCUAGCAUAUUGAUAUUAUAGUAUUUAAAUCAUUUAAUCAUGGAUUUAAUACAUACCUUUUAGUUUGUAUGUGAUAUGAGAAAAAUUGUUCUCAAUGAGGAAUAAUUAGAUGACGAGUCUGAUUCAAUAUGAAGAAAAGACUCUUAAAAUUCCAUUCAUGCUAACUGAGAGAACAAAUUUUUAACCUAAAUCUAUGCCAAUAUUUUACUAACAUAAUUAUAGGUUAUUCAUGAAAGGUAUCCAAAACUUAAUUGAAAACUAGACUUCAAAUAUGUACUUUAGGGUAUUAUUAGGAUGAUUUAUUAAAUUUCAAAGACAAGCAUAUGUCUGAUGCCAUUGGUUUUGAAGAAGUGAAAUGCGUCUGAUUAUAGACAACCUAAAGUUAUAUAUUUCCAUGUCCUAAGUUUUCGUGUUAAAACAACUUUUCUAACGUAUUUGCAAGACCUUAAACUAGUUAGAUACACUGAAGUUAAGGAGGCUGUUUUGUAUAGGUAAGUAGAUCAGCUUGAGGUCGAAUUUUAGUUCACAUGAUGUUUUUACUUUAAUCACGACGGUCUACGUAGUUUCUACAUUGACGAAGAUUGCCUGUGACAAGGCGCUUUUUCUGAAUGUACUUUAUAUAUCGACCUCUAAUUUUUAGUGUCGGUUCGUUUAUUAACAUUUUUUAGUUCUAUAGUUUGAAUCUUCUAGAGUUUUUAUAAAGUUAAUCAUAAAUGAAAAUGUCAAUCUGACAAACAAAAGCUAAUUUUGUAAGUAAACGUAAUAUUGAACAAGUAUAUGUUAAGGAUUCUUUUCUUUUUUCUUUGAACAGAAGGGAUUUACGAUCAACACUCAUUUAGUGUUUCACAUAUAGAUUAGCGUGCUAUUCUGGGUAGCAAUUUCGUCUCGCAGCAUGCAAUCAACUACGAAGUGGAAUUUUGCCAGUUUAUUAGGGAUCGAUGGGCAUUAUGUGAUACUCUCAAUACUGUGGCAGCACGAGCUUUUGUUAGCUACUGAAUCUUUUAAAGGCUAGAAUGAACAUACUGUGUUUCUCAAAGUCAUCCAAACCCUCAAUGAAUUGUGAGUUUUGUUGUAAAGCACCUUGAGGAUUCAGGGACGCAUCUGCAAUCAGCAUUGCUCUGGAACGUAAAGUGUUUAGGGAAAUUUGAACCAAGCUGUCGUCUGAUAUUCUACAAUGAGUUAGUAAGAUUUUGAAUUUGAGAAAAACGUGUAAAGUUUGACUUACAAAUGGAGCAUUUUCUCGGCAAAAUGGUAAUAAUGUGUGGUUAUGUCCCGAAUAGAUACACUAUUAGGAUUCGCCUUUAAUGCAUUUCGUACUACAGAAGAAAAUGGUGCUGGCAUAUGAAUACUAACAAAAGAACUAUAAAGUAAGCAAAUAAGCAAAAUUAUCCAAUUUUCUAUAAGACAUUACAUGUAUAUAAUGUAACAUGCAGAAAAAACC